rnacentral:rRNA from 1 species
AGUGAACGCUGGCGGUAGGCCUAACACAUGCAAGUCGAACGGCAGCACAGUAAGAGCUUGCUCUUACGGGUGGCGAGUGGCGGACGGGUGAGGAAUACAUCGGAAUCUACUUUUUCGUGGGGGAUAACGUAGGGAAACUUACGCUAAUACCGCAUACGACCUACGGGGGAAAGCAUGGGAUCUUCGGACCUUGCGCGAUUGAAUGAGCCGAUGUCGGAUUAGCUAGUUGGCGGGGUAAAGGCCCACCAAGGCGACGAUCCGUAGCUGGUCUGAGAGGAUGAUCAGCCACACUGGAACUGAGACACGGUCCAGACUCCUACGGGAGGCAGCAGUGGGGAAUAUUGGACAAUGGGCGCAAGCCUGAUCCAGCCAUACCGCGUGUGUGAAGAAGGCCUUCGGGUUGUAAAGCCCUUUUGUUGGGAAAGAAAAGCAGCAGGUUAAUACCACGCUGUUCUGACGGUACCCAAAGAAUAAGCACCGGCUAACUUCGUG